rnacentral:rRNA from 1 species
AUUGAACGCUGGCGGCAUGCCUUACACAUGCAAGUCGAACGGCAGCACGGGAGCAAUCCUGGUGGCGAGUGGCGAACGGGUGAGUAAUAUAUCGGAACGUGCCCAGUCGUGGGGGAUAACGUAGCGAAAGCUACGCUAAUACCGCAUACGAUCUACGGAUGAAAGCGGGGGAUCGCAAGACCUCGCGCGAUUGGAGCGGCCGAUAUCAGAUUAGCUAGUUGGUGGGGUAAAAGCUCACCAAGGCGACGAUCUGUAGCUGGUCUGAGAGGAUGAUCCGCCACACUGGAACUGAGACACGGUCCAGACUCCUACGGGAGGCAGCAGUGGGGAAUUUUGGACAAUGGGGGCAACCCUGAUCCAGCCAUGCCGCGUGAGUGAAGAAGGCCUUCGGGUUGUAAAGCUCUUUCGGCCGGGAAAAAAUCGCAUCAGUUAAUACCUGGUGUGGAUGAUGGUACCGGAAUAAGAAGCACCGGCUAACUACGUG